CACAGACCCACACACCCACACUCCCCUCACAUACAUCCACACUUCCCUCACACACACAUUACAUACUACAUACACUCCUACACACACUCCCCUCACACACACUCCCCUCACACACACCCACACACACAGACCCACAUACCACACUACCCUCACAUACAUCCACACUCCCCUCACACACACACAUUACACACUCCCCCCACACACAGACCCACACAGCCACACUCUCCUUACAUACAUCCACACUCCCCUCACACAUACAUUACACACUCCCCUCACACACACAGACCCACACACCCACACUCCCCUCACAUACAUCCACACUCCCCUCACACACACGCAUUACACACUCCCUUCACGUACAUCCACACUCCCCUCACACACACCACACACACACAUUACAUACACUCCCCCCACACACACUCCCCUCACAUACAUCCACACUCCCCUCAAACACACCACACACAAUUACACACUCCCCUCACACACAUCCACACUCCCCUCACACACACACAUUACACACUCCCCCACACAGACCCACACACCCACACUCCCCUCACAUACAUCCACACUCCCCUCACACACACCACACACACAUACAUCCACACUCCCCUCACACACACAAUUACACACUCCCCCACACACACAGACCCACACACCCCUCACAUACAUCCACGCUCCCUUAACACACACACACUACAUACACUCCCCCUACAUACACUCCCCUCACACACCCACAGUCCCCUCACAUACAUCCACACUCCCCUCACACAUACACACAUUACACACACUGCGCUCACACAUAUCCACACUCCCCUCACACACACCACACACAUUACAUACACUCUCCCUACACACACUCCCCUCACACACACCACACACAUAUUACACACACUUUCCUCACAUACACACUCCCCUUACACACUACACACACACACUUCCCCUACACACACCCCCACACUACACACACUCCCCUCACAUAUACAUACACUACACACUCCCCUCAGGCACACACACUACACACCACCCACACUCCCACACACACUACACACCACCCACACUCCCACACACACACCUAUCACCCACACUCCCUCCCACACACACACCACACACUCCCUUCACACACUACACACUCCCCUCACACAUUCCACACACACACCCCACACAUUACACACACUCGCCUCAUGCACACACCCCACACACUACACAUAGUCCCCUCAUACACUACACACCACACUCCUUGACACACACACACUCUCCCUACACACACAUCCACACACCCAUACCCCUCAGCACACACACACGCCCCCAUACACCUACAUACACCACACACAUUCAUUCACCACACAUACACACUCACCCCACACCCCAUACA
rnacentral:lncRNA from 1 species